GGCUCUCAAGAAGUUGGCUAACAUUCUCUCCGAAGAGAAGCAGCUUCGUGAAGGUAGAUCAGCACAAGGACAAGUUGAUGCUCCUAAAUGAAGAUACAGAAUUGAUUAAUUUCCGUCUGCUAAUAAUAAAAAAGAGUUGAAUAAAUUUCUUGUGAAAAGCUCUAUUGUGGAGCAUAUUCUUCUAAUGAAACCAUAUCGCACGUGGUAG
rnacentral:misc_RNA from 1 species